UACGUAGGGGGCAAGCGUUGUCCGGAUUUAUUGGGCGUAAAGAGCGUGUAGGCGGUCAGGUAGGUCAGUUGUGAAAACUGGAGGCUCAACCUUCAGAGGUCGACCGAAACCCCCUGGCUAGAGUCCGGGAGAGGAGAGUGGAAUUCCUGGUGUAGCGGUGAAAUGCGCAGAUAUCAGGAAGAACACCCGUGGCGAAAGCGGCUCUCUGGAACGGUACUGACGUUGAGACGCGAAAGCGUGGGGAGCGAACAGG
rnacentral:rRNA from 1 species